GUGCAAGCGCAGGCCUCCAAAGGGUUUGGGCUUCUUGCCCAACCGCCGCGCUUAUCUCCGAGUCUGCCCCCAGUCUGCCCUCUCGCAGGCCGAGAAAGGACCAGAACACGUUGGGACGAAGACAACCUCAGGGAGAGGGACAAAGAGGCAGAGACCGGGACGGAGACUGGGACGGAGGUAGAAACUGAGAAAGGGAGAGUGCCAGGGACGGCUUUGCAUCCUCUCCGCUGCUCCCAUGCCCUCCAGUCCUGCCAAAAGGGAGGAGGAAAGGUCGAGCCCUAAUCCCCCAGGGCACCUCUCCCACGCCCGGAAGGGUGGCUGGACCCUGGCAACCAGUUUAGUGUGGGGACGGAAGCUGGACAUCCAGAAUUGAGACUUGGCCUGGGCAACAAGCGCAGAGGCCCAGCAGAGGGGUACCCGUCUGUUUCUCCCCACUUCCAUCCCCAAGGGCCCGGCCUAGGUUCCUUCGAGGGAUGAAGGUCCGCAAGGCACAUCCCUACUUCCAAACCAAGGUUUGGGGCUGCCUUUUUGGGACAGGCGGACGCCCUGCAAGCUCAGUGACCAAGCAAGCAGCUGUUUCAUUCAUGGGAGAAGCCGCCCCUUCUCCCCAACUCCCACCCUAAAAUUUCAGGGGGGAUGCCGGGGAGGCCUGAAGAGGAAUGGCCCUUCUCUCCUUCGCUAAUCUUGCCGGAACCCCGGUCCUGGAGCCUGUCUCCCAGGGGCGGAGGCACUUCCCUCUCUGAGCAGGACCAGUGUUUGGGUGUGGGGGGGGGGUGUUUGUGUGUGUGUGUGUGUGUGUGUGUGUGUGUGUGUGUGUGUGUGUGUGUGUGUAUGUGUUGGGGGUGGCGGGGGCGCUGGCCGGCUGUGUUUUCCUGUUUGUAUGAGAGGAAGUUGGCUGUGAGUCAGCAGACACAGGAACUGUCAGUAGCUAGGGGAAGACCCCUGCCUCAGGGGAAGAAGAGGGGAGUGGGAGGAAGUGGUUCCCACCUCUUCCAGCUGCCUCAGCUAGGGGAGGGACUGUCAUCUUCAACCUACUGGAGCCCCACUUUCCCGGCCUUCCCUUUGAGAAAGAGAAUUAUAGUAAUAAAAUAAUAAUUGCAAUAGCCAUAAUAAGGGCUACCAAUUAUUGAGAGCUGACCGUGCUCCAGGAUCUAUGUAAACAUUGCUUUGCAAACUUUAAUCCUCACAAAUAUCCCUACAAAUAGGAAAUUUUAUCACCUCUAUUUUACAUAUAAGGAGACAGGGAGCAUUAAAUAACUUGCUCAAGACUCUGCAGCUAGAAAAUAGCCAACCCUCCAAGUCUAUAUCUAUAACUACCAUGCUCACCUACCACCCUGGACAGGACCCCUGCACCAUGUCCUUUUUUUCAGAUGGGCAACUGUGGUGGCAGUGAGAAUGCUCCUCACAGAUCUUACACUGUGAGGAGUGAAAUUAACCAAUGGCCCCAGCUGCUUCUCUCUGAAAUCUAAGGCCAGCUUCCCACUGGGCUGCUCCCAGCCAGUGACAGAGCUCAGCAGAGAUCUAAGGCAGACCCAUUCCUGGGAGAUAGGGGACUCCUUUGACAGCUGACUUUGGAUCAAGAUUUCCCAAUGGCUUUGCUGAACUUUCCUUUGACUGGUGUUUUAGGAUGCUCCUCUCAACCUUUAUUCCUUCCCUCUCUCCUUCACAGCUCUCCUAGCUCCAGGCUCCCUUCCUCUCUCACAGGCAUCUCCCCUAGUCAAAUCCUUGCAUUCUGCCUUGGCAGCUUCUUCUUUAAGGACUCAGACUAACCCAGCAAAAUAAGGGAGCAGGAAAAGACAGUAAAGGGCACAGGGAGUUUUGAGGAAUGGAUGCCGGGGAGUUUGGGUCAGGGGCUAGAUGCAAGAGUUCUGAACCUUUUUGUGCCAUGUUCUCCUUUGGCAAUACGGUAAAGUAUGUGGUCUCAUCUCAGAAUAAUAUUUUAAAAUGCAUAAAAUAAAAUAUAUAGGAUUGCAAAGGAAACCAAUUAUGUUGUAAUACACAUAUAAAACCGAUGUGAUAUAGUAAUAUAUGUGCUUCUUUAUUAAUGCUUUAAAUAAGAUCUAGUGGUAGGUUGAUACCUCACAUAACUUUGAUGCAGUGAUGAGCAUAAAUGGUAUUUCAAAAGAUCUGCAAUAUUGUAAUAUGAUAUAAAAAUAUAUGUGAUUUCUACUGGUGACAAAGCCAUAGUUAUGGCUAAAAUGACUGGUUUGUUGCUAUUGUCAUAAUUGGAGGAAAUGUUAAAUUUCAGCUAGAGAUUAGUGAAAGUAAUAUUCUUUUCCCAUCCAAGUCCACUGACUCCAAGUUAAGGACACCAAUGCCAGAUGAUGGGGCAGAGCCACAGAGAGGGAGACCUGGCUUCCUCCCUCAGACCCCACUUCCCUUCUUUGGCUCAAUGAUAUGGGGCAGGUGGAGGCUUCUGGCCCCUGGCUUGUGUCUUCCUGAGUUCAAGCAAUUCUCGUGCCUCAGCCUUGUGCCUCAGCCUCCCGAGUAGCUGGGAUUACAGGUGCCUGCCACUACACCCAGCUAAUUUUUGUAUUUUAGUAGAGACAGGGUUUCACCAUGUUGGCCAGGCUGGUCUCAAACUCCUGUCAGGUGAUCCAUCCACCUCAGCCUCCCAAAGUGCUGGGAUUACAGGCGUGAGCCACCAUGCCCGGCCGAAAUUAGUAAAUCUUAAAUCUUAAUCUUAACACAUAGGACAAAAGGGACACUAGUGAGCAGAGGAAGAGGAAGAAUGAAGCAAUGAGGAGAUGUGGAAGGGAAUUCUUCAAUAGCCCCUUCCAUGUCUCGAUUUGUUCCCCACUCAAAUGAUAGACUAUUAAGCCACAAUCACUUUGGAGGCCACUUUGUUCACCAAAAGUGGAUGGUAUGCAGUAAUUAAGAACAAGGUCUCUCGGCUAGGCACUGUGGCUCACACCUGUAAUCCCAGCAUUUUGGGAGGCCAAGGCAGGAGGAUUGUUUGAGAGCAGGAGUUUGAGGCCAGCCUGGGCAACAUAGCAAGACCUCGUCUCUACUAAAAAUUUUAAAAUUAGCCAAGUGUGGUAGUGUGCACCUGUAGUCCCAGC
rnacentral:lncRNA from 1 species